UACGGGGGGAGCAAGCGUUGUUCGGAUUUACUGGGCGUAAAGGGCGCGUAGGCGGCACCGCAAGUCGACUGUGAAAUCUCCGGGCUUAACCCGGAAAGGUCAGCCGAUACUGCGGGGCUAGAGUGCAGAAGGGGCAACUGGAAUUCUCGGUGUAGCGGUGAAAUGCGUAGAUAUCGAGAGGAACACCUGCGGCGAAGGCGGGUUGCUGGGCUGACACUGACGCUGAUGUGCGAAAGCUAGGGGAGCGAACGGG
rnacentral:rRNA from 1 species